rnacentral:rRNA from 1 species
AACGAACGCUGGCGGCAGGCUUAACACAUGCAAGUCGAACGCCCCGCAAGGGGAGUGGCAGACGGGUGAGUAACGCGUGGGAAUCUACCGUGCCCUGCGGAAUAGCUCCGGGAAACUGGAAUUAAUACCGCAUACGCCCUACGGGGGAAAGAUUUAUCGGGGUAUGAUGAGCCCGCGUUGGAUUAGCUAGUUGGUGGGGUAAAGGCCUACCAAGGCGACGAUCCAUAGCUGGUCUGAGAGGAUGAUCAGCCACAUUGGGACUGAGACACGGCCCAAACUCCUACGGGAGGCAGCAGUGGGGAAUAUUGGACAAUGGGCGCAAGCCUGAUCCAGCCAUGCCGCGUGAGUGAUGAAGGCCUUAGGGUUGUAAAGCUCUUUCACCGAUGAAGAUAAUGACGGUAGUCGGAGAAGAAGCCCCGGCUAACUUCGUGCCAGCCGCCGCGGUAA